CCCAAGAAGAUGAUCACCACGAAGAACAGCACGUGCCAAGACCCCGCUGACCGCAACACCUGAUAAGCACCGGUCUUCAGUAAUUAGAACCUAUGCGGAUAGGUCGGCAUCGAUCCACGACCCGGUCAACGCCAAACAGCUCGCCUGGCGGUUUCAAUUCACUUUACG